UACGUAGGGUGCAGGCGUUAAUCGGAAUUACUGGGCGUAAAGCGUGCGCAGGCGGCUCUUUAAGUCAGAUGUGAAAGCCCCGGGCUUAACCUGGGAAUUGCGUUUGAAACUGGAGAGCUGGAGUGUGGAAGAGGGGGGUGGAAUUCCAGGUGUAGCAGUGGAAAUGCGUAGAGAUCUGGAGGAACACCGAUGGCGAAGGCAGCCCCCUGGGCUAACACUGACGCUCAUGCACGAAAGGCGUGGGGAGCAAACGAG
rnacentral:rRNA from 1 species